rnacentral:misc_RNA from 1 species
AAGACUAUAGACCUGCGGAGUACCUGCGGAGGGAUCAUCAUUGAAAAACACAAUUUGACAAGGGAUUUUUGUUUUGGGAGAAGGGAGGGGGUCUGCGGGGCAUAAAAACUCUGCAUCUCCAAACUUUGACUGGGAUCAAGUCUCUUGACAAACAACAACCAAUCUUCAUGACUAGGAAACAUUUGACACAGUGGUUUGGCAGUGAACAUAAGUUCUUGUCUGACAAGUAGCAUGAUAACU